GGGUUGUGAGGUUAAGCGAAUAAGCGUACACGGUGGAUGCCUAGGCAAUCAGAGGCGAUGAAGGACGUGCUAAUCUGCGAAAAGCGUCGGUAAGGUGAUAUGAACCGCUAUACCCGACGAUAUCCGAAUGGGGAAACCCAGUAUCCAAUGGAUACUAUCAUUAACUGAAUCCAUAGGUUAAUGAGGCGAACCGGGAGAACUGAAACAUCUCAGUACCCCGAGGAAAAGAAAUCAACCGAGAUUCCCCUAGUAGCGGCGAGCGAACGGGGAGCAGCCCAGAGUCUUAAUCAAUAGCAGUGUCAGGAGAACGGUCUGGAAAGUCCGGCAGUAAAGGGUGAUAGCCCCGUAUCUGAAGAUGCUGUUAUUGUGAACUCGACGAGUAGGGCGGGACACGUGUUAUCCUGUCUGAAUAUGGGGGGACCAUCCUCCAAGGCUAAAUACUCCUGAUUGACCGAUAGUGAACCAGUACCGUGAGGGAAAGGCGAAAAGAACCCCGGCGAGGGGAGUGAAAAAGAACCUGAAACCGUGUACGUACAAGCAGUAGGAGCCUCUUUAUGGGGUGACUGCGUACCUUUUGUAUAAUGGGUCAGCGACUUAUAUUCUGUAGCAAGGUUAACCGUAUAGGGGAGCCGUAGGGAAACCGAGUCUUAACUGGGCGAAUGAGUUGCAGGGUAUAGACCCGAAACCCGGUGAUCUAUCCAUGGGCAGGUUGAAGGUUGGGUAACACUAACUGGAGGACCGAACCGACUAAUGUUGAAAAAUUAGCGGAUGACUUGUGGAUGGGGGUGAAAGGCCAAUCAAACCGGGAGAUAGCUGGUUCUCCCCGAAAGCUAUUUAGGUAGCGCCUCGUGAAUUCAUCUUCGGGGGUAGAGCACUGUUUCGACUAGGGGGUCAUCCCGACUUACCAACUCGAUGCAAACUGCGAAUACCGAAGAAUGUUAUCACGGGAGACACACGGCGGGUGCUAACGUCCGUCGUGAAGAGGGAAACAACCCAGACCGCCAGCUAAGGUCCCAAAGUCAUGGUUAAGUGGGAAACGAAGUGGGAAGGCUCAGACAGCCAGGAUGUUGGCUUAGAAGCAGCCAUCAUUUAAAGAAAGCGUAAUAGCUCACUGGUCGAGUCGGCCUGCGCGGAAGAUGUAACGGGGCUAAACCAUGCACCGAAGCUGCGGCAGCGACACAUAGUGUUGUUGGGUAGGGGAGCGUUCUGUAAGCCUGCGAAGGUGUACUGUGAGGUAUGCUGGAGGUAUCAGAAGUGCGAAUGCUGACAUAAGUAACGAUAAUGCGGGUGAAAAACCCGCACGCCGGAAGACCAAGGGUUCCUGUCCAACGUUAAUCGGGGCAGGGUGAGUCGACCCCUAAGGCGAGGCUGAAAAGCGUAGUCGAUGGGAAACGGGUUAAUAUUCCCGUACUGGUGGUAACUGCGAUGGGGGAACGGAGAAGGCUAGGUUGUCCGGGCGACGGUCGUCCCGGUUCAAGCAGGUAGGCAGAGUGAUUAGGCAAAUCCGGUCACUUAAUGCUGAGAUGUGAUGACGAGCCACCAAGGUGGUGAAGCAAUUGAUGCCCCGCUUCCAGGAAAAGCCUCUAAGCUUCAGGUUACCAACAAUCGUACCCCAAACCGACACAGGUGGUCAGGUAGAGAAUACUCAGGCGCUUGAGAGAACUCGGGUGAAGGAACUAGGCAAAAUGGUGCCGUAACUUCGGGAGAAGGCACGCUGGCGGUAGGUAAAGUCCCUUGCGGACGGCGCUGAAGCCAGUCGAAGAUACCAGCUGGCUGCAACUGUUUAUUAAAAACACAGCACUGUGCAAACACGAAAGUGGACGUAUACGGUGUGACGCCUGCCCGGUGCUGGAAGGUUAAUUGAUGGGGUUAGCGCAAGCGAAGCUCCUGAUCGAAGCCCCAGUAAACGGCGGCCGUAACUAUAACGGUCCUAAGGUAGCGAAAUUCCUUGUCGGGUAAGUUCCGACCUGCACGAAUGGCGUAAUGAUGGCCAGGCUGUCUCCACCCGAGACUCAGUGAAAUUGAACUCGCUGUGAAGAUGCAGUGUACCCGCGGCAAGACGGAAAGACCCCGUGAACCUUUACUAUAGCUUGACACUGAACAUUGAGCCUUGAUGUGUAGGAUAGGUGGGAGGCUUUGAAGUGUGGACGCCAGUCUGCAUGGAGCCAACCUUGAAAUACCACCCUUUAACGUUUGAUGUUCUAACCUAGGCCCAUAAACUGGGUCGGGGACCGUGUCUGGUGGGUAGUUUGACUGGGGCGGUCUCCUCCUAAAGAGUAACGGAGGAGCACGAAGGUUGGCUAAGCAUGGUCGGACAUCAUGCGGUUAGUGCAAAGGCAUAAGCCAGCUUGACUGCGAGAGUGACGGCUCGAGCAGGUACGAAAGUAGGUCUUAGUGAUCCGGUGGUUCUGAAUGGAAGGGCCAUCGCUCAACGGAUAAAAGGUACUCCGGGGAUAACAGGCUGAUACCGCCCAAGAGUUCAUAUCGACGGCGGUGUUUGGCACCUCGAUGUCGGCUCAUCACAUCCUGGGGCUGAAGUAGGUCCCAAGGGUAUGGCUGUUCGCCAUUUAAAGUGGUACGCGAGCUGGGUUUAGAACGUCGUGAGACAGUUCGGUCCCUAUCUGCCGUGGGCGUUGGAAGAUUGAGAGGGGUUGCUCCUAGUACGAGAGGACCGGAGUGAACGCACCACUGGUGUUCGGGUUGUCAUGCCAAUGGCAUUGCCCGGUAGCUAAGUGCGGAAGAGAUAACCGCUGAAAGCAUCUAAGCGGGAAACUUGCCUCGAGAUGAGUCUUCCCUGUCGCUUUAAGCGACCUAAAGGAACGUUUAAGACUAAGACGUUGAUAGGCUGGGUGUGUAAGCGUAGCGAUACGUUGAGCUAACCAGUACUAAUGAACCGUGAGGCUUAACCUGACAACACCGAAAGUGUUUUG
rnacentral:rRNA from 1 species